rnacentral:rRNA from 1 species
UACGGAAGGCAGCAGUGGGGAAUAUUGCACAAUGGGCGAAAGCCUGAUGCAGCUAUGCCGCGUGUAUGAAGAAGGCCUUAGGGUUGUAAAGUACUUUCAUCGGGGAGGAAAAACAAAACUAAUAAUUUUAUUUCUUGACGUUACCCGAAAAAGAAGCACCGGCUAACUCCGUGCCAGCAGCCGCGGUAAUACGGAGGGUGCUAGCGUUAAUCAGAAUUACUGGGCGUAAAGAGCACGUAGGUGGUUUUUUUAAGUCAGAUGUGAAAUCCCUGGGCUUAACCUAGGAACUGCAUUUUGAAACUGAAAUACUAGAGUAUCGUAGAGGGAGGUAGAAUUCUAGGUGUAGCGGUGAAAUGCGUAGAUAUCUGGAGGAAUACCUGUGGCGAAAGCGGCCUCCUAAACGAAUACUGACACUGAGGGUGCGAAAAGCGUGGGGAGCAAACAGGGAUUAGAUACC